CAUAGGUUAAUGAGGCGAACCGGGGGAACUGAAACAUCUAAGUACCCCGAGGAAAAGAAAUCAACCGAGAUUCCCCCAGUAGCGGCGAGCGAACGGGGAGCAGCCCAGAGCCUGAAUCAGUGUGUGUGUUAGUGGAAGCGUCUGGAAAGGCGCGCGAUACAGGGUGACAGCCCCGUACACAAAAAUGCACAUACUGUGAGCUCGAUGAGUAGGGCGGGACACGUGGUAUCCUGUCUGAAUAUGGGGGGACCAUCCUCCAAGGCUAAAUACUCCUGACUGACCGAUAGUGAACCAGUACCGUGAGGGAAAGGCGAAAAGAACCCCGGCGAGGGGAGUGAAAAAGAACCUGAAACCGUGUACGUACAAGCAGUGGGAGCACGCUUAGGCGUGUGACUGCGUACCUUUUGUAUAAUGGGUCAGCGACUUAUAUUCUGUAGCAAGGUUAACCGAAUAGGGGAGCCGAAGGGAAACCGAGUCUUAACUGGGCGUUAAGUUGCAGGGUAUAGACCCGAAACCCGGUGAUCUAGCCAUGGGCAGGUUGAAGGUUGGGUAACACUAACUGGAGGACCGAACCGACUAAUGUUGAAAAAUUAGCGGAUGACUUGUGGCUGGGGGUGAAAGGCCAAUCAAACCGGGAGAUAGCUGGUUCUCCCCGAAAGCUAUUUAGGUAGCGCCUCGUGAAUUCAUCUCCGGGGGUAGAGCACUGUUUCGGCAAGGGGGUCAUCCCGACUUACCAACCCGAUGCAAACUGCGAAUACCGGAGAAUGUUAUCACGGGAGACACACGGCGGGUGCUAACGUCCGUCGUGAAGAGGGAAACAACCCAGACCGCCAGCUAAGGUCCCAAAGUCAUGGUUAAGUGGGAAACGAUGUGGGAAGGCCCAGACAGCCAGGAUGUUGGCUUAGAAGCAGCCAUCAUUUAAAGAAAGCGUAAUAGCUCACUGGUCGAGUCGGCCUGCGCGGAAGAUGUAACGGGGCUAAACCAUGCACCGAAGCUGCGGCAGCGACGCUGAUGCGUUGUUGGGUAGGGGAGCGUUCUGUAAGCCUGUGAAGGUGUGCUGUGAGGCAUGCUGGAGGUAUCAGAAGUGCGAAUGCUGACAUAAG
rnacentral:rRNA from 1 species